CAUAGGUUUGGUCCUAGCCUUUCUAUUUGUUUUUAACAAAAUUACACAUGCAAGUAUCCGCACCCCAGUGAGAAUGCCCUCUAAAUCUUAAAGAUUAAAAGGAGCGGACAUCAAGCACACCCCAUGGUAGCUCACAACGCCUUGCUCAACCACACCCUCACGGGACACAGCAGUGAUAAAAAUUAAGCCAUGAACGAAAGUUCGACUAAGUUAUGUUAAACAGAGUUGGUAAAUAUCGUGCCAGCCACCGCGGUCAUACGAUUAACCCAAAUAAAUAGAAUUACGGCGUAAAGAGUGCCCAAGARAAAAUCCAUAAUAGAGAUAAAUUUCAACUAAGCURNNNNNNNNNNNNNUUGAAAAAUAAAUAAACCACGAAAGUGACUCUAACAUCUCAGAUGCACGAUAGCUAGGGCUCAAACUGGGAUUAGAUACCCCACUAUGCCUAGCCCUAAACCUAAAUAAUCAACUAACAAGAUUAUUCGCCAGAGUACUACUAGCAACAGCCUAAAACUCAAAGGACUUGGCGGUGCUUCAUAUCCAUCUAGAGGAGCCUGUUCUAUAACCGAUAAACCCCGAUAAACCUCACCAGCCCUUGCCAAUUCAGCCUAUAUACCGCCAUCUUCAGCAAACCCUAAAAAGGAGCAACAGUAAGCACAACUAUAGUACAUAAAAACGUUAGGUCAAGGUGUAGCUUAUGGGUUGGGAAGAAAUGGGCUACAUUUUCUACAAAAGAACAAYUACGAAAAUUUUCAUGAAAUUGAGAAUUAAAGGAGGAUUUAGCAGUAAAUUAAGAAUAGAGUGCUUAAUUGAAUUAGGCCAUGAAGCACGCACACACCGCCCGUCACCCUCCUCAAGUAAACACAGUGCACAAAACCUAUUACAAACAAAACUACACAAGAGGAGACAAGUCGUAACAAGGUAAGCAUACUGGAAAGUGUGCUUGGAUCAC
rnacentral:ncRNA from 1 species